GACGAACGCUGGCGGCGUGCCUAAUACAUGCAAGUUGAGCGAUGAAGAUUGGUGCUUGCACCAAUUUGAAGAGCAGCGAACGGGUGAGUAACGCGUGGGGAAUCUGCCUUUGAGCGGGGGACAACAUUUGGAAACGAAUGCUAAUACCGCAUAACAACUUUAAACAUAAGUUUUAAGUUUGAAAGAUGCAAUUGCAUCACUCAAAGAUGAUCCCGCGUUGUAUUAGCUAGUUGGUGAGGUAAAGGCUCACCAAGGCGAUGAUACAUAGCCGACCUGAGAGGGGGAUCGGCCAAAUUGGGACUGAGAAACGGCACAAAAUCCUACGGGAGGCAGCAGUAGGGAAUCUGCGGCAAUGGACGAAAGUCUGACCGAGCAACGCCGCGGGAGUGAAGAAGGGUUUCGGAUCGUAAAACUCUGUUGGUAGAGAAGAACGUUGGUGAGAGUGGAAAGCUCAUCAAGUGACGGUAACUACCCAGAAAGGGACGGCUAACUACGUG
rnacentral:rRNA from 1 species